AUUCCAUAAAUGCCUUGCGAGAUACCUGGCUGAUGGGUUUACUUGUGGCGGAUCAGUGCUACUUUUCUCAGCUGAAGGAGUUCUCAACCAGACUGGAGGAAUGCUCCCGCUGGAAUGUUUCUAUCGUCAUAGGGCUCAGUACACUUCAAGGUCAACAAAUGACCUGGUGUGUUGGCAAUCGCCAACACUUGCACCACCACUUCUUAUUUGCUGUUGGCUUUAAUGAAUUUGAAAGUGCAUCAUAAGGUGAAAGGUCAAGUCUGAGGACUAAGACCCUCAACAUCUGUGUAUGCAAGAUCUCACACUGUUCUGUAGGGAAUGUAAUUCUUGGCGCUUAUUUCAGCAGGCUUCCCAAGCUCCCCAAAUUUCAGCAAAAUCAUCAGGGACCAAGUGCGUUCCAGAAACAUCUACAGUUUGAAAAUGUAAAGCUUUCUUUUUCGCAGUCAACAUUGUUGAAGACAUCUGCACAAUAGGAUGUCACUUGCUUUGCCCAGCUAAUCAGUUUUGUCAGACGAACAAUGCAAUAAUUCUGCUUUGGUGGUUGUCAUCAUGGUGAAUUUUGAGGGUUGACUCACAAUGCAAUUGAAAUGUAUCAUGGUUAAAUGGCAUACUCUUUAUGCACACUGUGUGGAAUUGUUUUUUCCAUUUUUUAUCAUCUUACCUGACUACCAUUUGUAAAUGGAAAGCACAGCAUUGAUAUUGGCCUUUACUCAUGAUCCACAGAUCUUGGUAACAUGUUUUUGGUUCAGGAUCCAAUUGGAAAAUAAAUCAAAUGUUGUGUUUGC